UGGGGAAUAUUGCACAAUGGGCGAAAGCCUGAUGCAGCAACGCCGCGUGAGGGACGACGGCCUUCGGGUUGUAAACCUCUUUUAGCAAGGAAGAAGCGAAAGUGACGGUACUUGCAGAAAAAGCGCCGGCUAACUACGUGCCAGCAGCCGCGGUAAUACGUAGGGCGCAAGCGUUAUCCGGAAUUAUUGGGCGUAAAGAGCUCGUAGGCGGUUUGUCGCGUCUGCUGUGAAAACCCGAGGCUCAACCUCGGGCCUGCAGUGGGUACGGGCAGACUAGAGUGCGGUAGGGGAGAAUGGAAUUCCUGGUGUAGCGGUGGAAUGCGCAGAUAUCAGGAGGAACACCGAUGGCGAAGGCAGUUCUCUGGGCCGUAACUGACGCUGAGGAGCGAAAGCGUGGGGAGCGAACAGGAUUAGAUACCCUGGUAGUCCACGCCGUAAAACGUUGGGCGCUAGAUGUGGGGACCAUUCCACGGUUUCCGUGUCGCAGCUAACGC
rnacentral:rRNA from 1 species